AAAUAAAUAAAAAUAUAGUUUAUUAGAGUUUUUGUCCUCAAAUAACCUCUACUUUAUUUUCCCAAAAGAUUGCCCAUUCCGCUUGGAUCACCCUGUAUGCUGUGAUUUUUCUUGAAAAAAUUAUCUGGAACCUUUAUUAAGAAGAACUGACUCAACCUAGUUGCGAAGGAAAGGGGUGUGCCUAUGUGCGGGUUCCCCUGGUGAAUAGAAUAGAAGUUUGAUCUGGCGUUUUAGAGUGGCUUAAAAAUAAAGUAUAUUGCAAUGGUAGACCCUCCAUUUGGCAAAAUGUUUCGGCUCUUAUUAGUUUCCGCUUAUAUUCAAUAAGGUUCCCUAUUUGUUCUCCAUUCUGAUAUCCCAUUUGCGUUUGGGAUUUUCUCAAGUGUUUAUAUUUAAACUUUACGUUAUAGAUAUGGAAAUUCCAAAAAAUAAAAAUUCAAGAACUCGGCUAACUCCUUUCGAAUUAAUCAAUUUGUUACGUUCUAAUAAUUAUUCAUCUUUAUCGAAUGAAUUCAGUAACAAAAAAAAUACUAUGAUGGCUUCAGUUUUGAACUUAAAUUUAGUCAACAUAUUGCGCGAUCAGUCUAUCCCCAAGUUGUUGGCUAACUGGGAUGUGAAGAGGCGUGAUGCAGAAGCCGUGUGGUUCAUGAAGGGUAUUAUGGAUGAAUGCACACAUUUGAAGAAUUUCUCAAUACCGUUCGACACCUCACUUAUUUAUGCCAUUUGUGCCCUACAUGAUGGCUAUGUUCCUAACAGCGGCUGUUGUAAAUUAGAAGAUGUGUGGCCUCAAGCGACUAUAAGAUAUGUAAAAACGGGUCAUGUUGGUGCGUACCUGUGGUAUCUUCACUUAUUUAGGAAUACUAUUGUCGAAGCGUUUGAAAGGGCAAAACUUGUGUGCCCUCCACCAGCUGUGACUUUCUCAUAAUUGAAUGAAUACAUUCUUUACCAGUAUUCCUUAAAAUUCAUAUGUGAACUUAUGUGCCUUUGAUCUUUUGUAUGAUUCGCACUGAUUGUACCUGACUGAUUACCGAUUAAUUUUAAAAUGUGAUAUUUUUGAUAUAGUUUAUAAACUUACUAAAAUGUUAUACUUGCUACGGUGAUCAAGUACUGCAUUGAUAAAUUGCAAAGAGUGAGUAUAUAUUCGCUGUUGUGUUUGAUAUUGAAACCCAAUGUUUACAAAUUAGAAAGUGUUGCAACUCAAUACUAAUUAUUCCAAAUUAUAUAUUGGCUGCUGUAUCUGUUUAGAUGAAUAGAAAUUGUAACAAUUUAGACAAAAGCAAUAAACGUAUUUUGUUAAA